UACGUAGGGUGCGAGCGUUGUUCGGAAUUAUUGGGCGUAAAGAGUUCGUAGGCGGUUUGUCGCGUCGAAUGUGAAAACCCGGGGCUCAACUCCGGGCUUGCAUUCGAUACGGGCAGGCUAGAGUUCGGUAGGGGAGUCUGGAAUUCCUGGUGUAGCGGUGAAAUGCGCAGAUAUCAGGAGGAACACCGGUGGCGAAGGCGGGACUCUGGGCCGAUACUGACGCUGAGGAGCGAAAGCGUGGGGAGCGAACAGG
rnacentral:rRNA from 1 species